CAGCUAGCAAAUAGAAACGAGCAUUGGAGCUGAUAGAAGAAAUAAAGGAGUUACUUUCUAUUAUCCUUUGAAUUUGUGAAGCAUAAUAUGCUGUGGAGAUAUAGUAUGAGUUUGUUACACAUGGCGCAAAGAAGGACAAUUUGGAAAACACUAUCCUUUAAAUCAAUCCAUCAGGGAAAGAGAUAUUAAAAUGGUCAAAUAACUGUUACAAGAGAUCAUCAAGGCUAGAAUUGAGCUGAACUACAGGACAUUCAUGAGGGUAUCUUGUUUUCAACUCACAUGCAGGAAAAGGGAUGAUCCGGAUGAAAAUAUUGAUGCAGAAAUUGAUUUGGCUCUGAGGCAGGCACAGAGUUUGUUCCUUGAUUGCAAUGAGUUUGGAGAUGAUAGGCCACUCUCUUGUUGCUCCUUCUCACAUGAUGGGAAUCUGCUUGCUACAUGGUAUCCAUCCUUUCCUCUUUCUCAACAAAAAACAUACAAGCACCAAGAGAGCUUCAGUUUUUAUGAUUUGGAUGCCAAUUUUUCUUGCAAUGGCUUGUUAAGGGAUUAAUAUA